ACUUUUCACCUCAUUAAUAUUUAAAUCCUUUGAGGGAUUAAAUGUUAACUUUGUGGACUAGGUAAAUAAUUACCUCUUUAAAGAUUAAAACCUACAAAAAUAACAUUUAACUCUUAAUUUUUUAAUCUUUUACCAAACACACUCCUAGGGGUAAUCAAAUGAAAAGAACCAAAAUUGAAAAAGUGAAAUUGAAAAAAAUGGUUAGAUGAGCCGAUUAAAUUAGAUAAUAGCAUGGUUUUUCAUUUUGGGCAUGUGUAGGAAGUGGCACAGUAGGAUAAAUUGAGAGAAUGGAGAUUGAAAUGGUUUGGAUGUGUGCCUUGCAGACUAAGCAAACUCAUCAAUGUAGAAGGUUGGGCACAUUGAAUUUAAGUGAUAAGAGAAAGGAAGUAAGGUUAGAGCUACUAUGACAUGGGAGGAAAUAGUGAGGAGUAUAUAAUACUAAAUCAAUAAAAAAAAAUGGAGCAAAUGGAUCUAUAUAUCCAACGCCAAUUAGUUUUGGAUUAAGGACACCAAUACAAGCUUAUAAGGGACCUUACAACCUACAAGCUCAAUGCGGGAGCCUACAACUUGUUUAAAAGAGAGAAAAGACUAAAAAUUUUUGCACACUUUAUUCCUUAUUUCAAACCAUGUAUUAAUACUAUUAUUAUUGGGCUUUAUUUGGAAUAAUACAUUUGAUUACAUAAUUAACUCAUUAUUAUAGAUUGUUGCUGA
rnacentral:misc_RNA from 1 species